rnacentral:lncRNA from 1 species
AGUACCAAUGUGAUAGACCAAUUUGCAAUCCACUAAAUUUCUUGGAUGGUUUACACAAUAUUUUUGUUUGUUUGUUUUGUUUUGUUAUGUUUUUUUCUCUUACUUACUCAAUUUUCAGAGGUCUUGAAAAUUUUGACUACCUAAUAUAUGACAUGCAAGACUUCAUGAAUCUGGUCUAUGAAAUAAGCUUGUCUUUGAUUUGGGCUACUUAGCUCACACCUUUAUAAGAAAGGUAUCUCUCCUACACUAUGCUACUCAUUGUCUAUAAAGAAUGUGUCUUGGUUGAAAAUGUUACCAAAAAAGUUUUGAGGCAACUUCAAGGCAAGGUUUUGCAGAGAAUUAUAUAAAGAAGAUUCAACGAUAGAUUUCAUGCUGACUAUUUCUUCUUUAAAUCGUUGAACUUGGGUGCUUUUAAGAAUUGGAACUUCAUCAAGCAAAGGCACCUUUUCAAAGUGUAUUCCUAGCAAAAAAAACAUAUUCUGAUUAUGUGGUAAGCUUAAAUGAUGGUCACCAUGCAUACCAUGCAUACAAUGGGAGGACAAAAAGAAGUGAGCAAUUUUUAGCUAAAGAUGUCAAACAUGCUUCACAUUCAAAGUUCUUCUUGUUGAACAUGCCAAGAUAAAAUAGAUACAAACCCAUUGGCAAGUCACGCCUACAAUUUGCACAUUAUUUUUAUCAAAAAACUGCAUUUUCUGUAGGGAAGUACCAAAUCCUGGUAAGAUAAUAUCACCUUUUUCUACAGGUAAGGAAUCCUUUCUAUUCUUUUGAUGAAAACAAUGAGGGAUGUAGUGAAUCAGAGAGACUUUUUGUUUCUUCUAUUUUAUCCAAUGUAUAUUUAUUUUACAUAAGAGAUAUAUAUAAAGGGGGUUGUUAAAGCCACACCCACCUCCUUAUCCAUUCUGUACCCUAUUCAUGUUCUUUACCUCAUUCCUACCUCCCGUCUUAAGUAUGGAUUUCACAAAUUUGCCCCAUUUUUAAUAUAGUUAUUUUUUUUAAUUUGUGAAAUUCAGUUCUUUGUUAUAUAUAUAUAUAUAUAUAUAUAUAUUAAAAAAAAGAUAACAUGUUAUAAGUAAUCUUAUUUUUUUAAUGGUAUCAUUAAUGAUGUAAUGAAUAUCAUUAAACUAUUGUAUCAAAAUACCAAUCUUGUAGUAGAUUUUAUGGGCAAUUAAUUAAGUUCAAAAAUGAUUCCGAAAAUAAAUUUGUUUCACAUAUUGUAUGUAAAGAAAGAUAGUUUCUAUUAUGUUUAAUUUUAUGAAGAUUAAAGUCUCUACAUUAUGAAAUUUUAUUUCAGAUAAUUACAUAUAUUAUGUAUUUCAGCUUUCUUUAAUUUCUAUAGAUUUAUAUUUUUAUCAUCCAUGUAAAAAACACAAAAAAUAUGUCAAUUUAUUUAAAUACAUCAUAUCUUAUUUGAGAAUAUCACAAGUUUUUGGCAUUGUAGUUGAUAGCUGUAAUUAUAAAAUUCUUUCAAAACUUCUAAAACAAACAGUUUUUAAAAUCAUCUUCAACUUCAUCUAAUAUUCAUACUAAUGAAAUUAAACAACCUUAUUUCAGUUAAAUGUUAUGUAAACAACUAUAAUUUUUUAACUACUCCCCACAUUUAUGUAUAUUAAGGUGCUAUUAUUAAAUAUCAUCCUCAUGGAAUCUUGGUUUUUUUAGUAUCAUUUCAAUUGACAGCAUAUUUGGAAAGGUUGUGAAUAUUUCAAUAAAGUCAUAACAUUCAGGUACAUAACAAUAUAGAAAUAUAUAAAUAUAUAUAUAUAUAUAUAUAUAUAUUUAUUUAUUUGUAUCUGUACCAUACAGUGGUCAUGCCAACACAUGUGAAACUUCACCUCGCACAACUGAUGCAAGUAAAAGAAAGGAGGAAACAGCACGAAAGAUGUCCCCAAUUCCAUUUGCACGUUAAUGGACCUUGGAUGGUACAAGGAGCUGAAAUAUGAUGAAGAAAUGCACCGAAUCACGGCAGAUAGGCCCUCGAUAAUAAAGAUUUUCCUGCUCUGUUCCGCAAGAUACCAGCCUCCGAGUGGGGAUGUGAAUCGCCAAGUGCCCUGAGAGAGAGCCCUGCACCCACGACCAACAAAA